UGUGUCAGUAAUGCAGGAUUAAAACUCCAAAUUUCUUUGGAGUUUAAAGCCUGAAUUCCUGGAACAAAACCAUCCCUACCAUAAACGCAGCUUAUUCAGUGGCUACAUUUUGCAUGGGGAAUUAUGUCAAAACUCCUCAUUGGAACCUUUGCAAAAGUAUGAUGCAUUUCCAGCCUCCUCCAUGAAAAACUGUGGUAGGGCAAUACUGGACACCAACACAAAUAACAGGAGCUUCCUGUUGAGAAUUCCUCUUUUGGGAAUACCUGAGAGCAGUGGGACAGCAACAGAGCUACACUUUUCUGCAAAUGUGAAACAGAUUGGUCUUCCUGUUCAUAUCCUCUGGGAUGUAUUUUGUCCUUACUGAAAUGUAAAUUUAGUGUUGGCUUCAGUCUGUCUUCUAGGAUAAGUAGCUAGACUUUUCAUAGUCCUUCCAAAUUAAAAUGCACUAAUUAAUAAAUUGUAACAGGAUUUGUUAUCCUGACUGACCUACCCUCCUAGUGAAGAAAGUUCACACUUCCAAAUGUACUUUUCUAACACUUUCAAAGCUCUCUUCUGCACCUGCACCAGAGCUAUCCCGUCUCAUAUCACUUCUGUGAGGGAUAUAACAUGUGCAGGACUCAUCCAGAAAGGAUGGUUCCAGAAUACUUACAGAGGAUCUUCCCAACACCAUAAGAGAAUCACUAAAAACCAUUUCAUUGGGUGAGCAAUUUCAAUUUCAUUCUUGUGAUAUUACAAAUUCUGGUAAGAAUUCACUAUCUCUGUGCCUUGAAGUUCUCUCAAGUGGGUCCUAAUCAUACCCCAACGGAGUCAGGUGGGAUUUAGGCCCCUGAAACAGCAUAAAGGCAUUUUAAGACGUCUAAAUUCAUAAUUGUAAUUCCUGCUUGGAGGCUGUGCAGCCCCAGGGAAACAUUAGUGUUUGCAGGAUUCUUCCAUUUUGCUCCAAAAGAUGCCAGACCACUUGUUUUUCUGUUCCAAGGUGAGUGGUCUGGAAAACAGCCCCUCCUUUACUUGCUUUGCAGAUUCUCCUGAGAUUCACAAGGAAAUUCUUGAUCCAGUCUUGGAGAAGAGGGAUACAUUAUGCAGAAACCCUCUGCUAUGUGAUGGGACAUGGCAACCCUGCUGUGAGAAUGCCUAUCAGCGCUUCUUUUAAGGCCCUUUCUCAAUUGUCAGCAAAGUAUUUUUUAAGGUUAAAAGGUGUAAAAUUAUUCUGAAACGCUUUUCUGACCUGUCGCCUAUCACUGCAAAAAGCUAUAGUUCAUUUUUUUUCUAAAAUUGUAUUUUUAAAAUGUGAUAUUAUAAGAAUAAAGCUAGUAAGAAAAAUAUCA
rnacentral:lncRNA from 1 species